AUUGAACGCUGGCGGCAGGCCUAACACAUGCAAGUCGAACGAGUGGCGGACGGGUGAGUAAUGUCUGGGAAACUGCCCGAUGGAGGGGGAUAACUACUGGAAACGGUAGCUAAUACCGCAUACCAUCGGAUGUGCCCAGAUGGGAUUAGCUUGUAGGUGAGGUAACGGCUCACCUAGGCGACGAUCCCUAGCUGGUCUGAGAGGAUGACGAGCCACACUGGAACUGAGACACGGUGCAGACUCCUACGGGAGGCAGGAGGGGGGAAUAUUGCACAAUGGGCGCAAGCCUGAUGCAGCAGUGCCGCGUGUAGGAAGAAGGCCUUCGGGUUGUAAAGUAAUUUCAGCGGGGAGGCGUUACCAGCAGAAGAAGCACCGGCUAACUCCGUGCCAGCAGCCGCGGGAAUUC
rnacentral:rRNA from 1 species